rnacentral:rRNA from 1 species
AUUGGACGCUGGCGGCAUGCCUUACACAUGCAAGUCGAACGGCAGCACGGGAGCAAUCCUGGUGGCGAGUGGCGAACGGGUGAGUAAAGUAUCGGAACGUGCCCAGUCGUGGGGGAUAACGUAGCGAAAGUUACGCUAAUACCGCAUACGAUCUAUGGAUGAAAGCGGGGGAUCGCAAGACCUCGCGCGAUUGGAGCGGCCGAUAUCAGUUUAGGUAGUUGGUGGGGUAAAGGCUCACCAAGCCGACGAUCUGUAGCUGGUCUGAGAGGACGACCAGCCACACUGGGACUGAGACACGGCCCAGACUCCUACGGGAGGCAGCAGUGGGGAAUUUUGGACAAUGGGCGAAAGCCUGAUCCAGCCAUGCCGCGUGCAGGAUGAAGGCCUUCGGGUUGUAAACUGCUUUUGUACGGAACGAAAAGGUUUGGCCUAAUAAGCUGAGCUCAUGACGGUACCGUAAGAAUAAGCACCGGCUAACUACGUGCCAGCCGCCGCGGUAA